GCUGAAGACUGCAGAAGCCCUUGGUCAGACUACUCUCAAGGUUGAAUCUCCCUGGCUUGACUGAGAUUCAGACUUUAUGGAACCUGAUUCAACAACUGAUGAGACUGGAAUUGAAGCACUACUUUAAGAUUUAUUGUCUCCUCUUCUACAAGGAUAUACAUUCAACAAGGAAAGAGAUUCUUUGUUCACCACUUUUCCUCCAGCACAUGUCAUGUAGUCAAUUAAUAUUAAUUGAUAAAAGGAAUAAAUUAUUGCAUUAGGUUUUGGUAUCAAGAUGAUGCUGGCCUCACAGAAUGAGUUGAGGAGAAGUUCCCCCUCCAUAAUUUUUUGGAAGUUACUGUUGGAAUGGCACCAGCUCUUCAUUGUACAUCUGGUAGAACUCAGCUAUGAAUCCAUCAGGUCCUGGGCUUUUUUGAAUGCUGAUCAACGUCAAGAAUUCUUCCAGUCAUGUAUAAUGAAGACGGCAUUUGAUUAUCAUUCUGAAUGACUUCAACCUAUCAGGACAACUUCUCCCAGAGACUACUUUGUUCAAUAAUAUAAAGCACCACCACCAUUAUUAAGAGUCAAAAAGCACUGAACCGGAGAAAGCAGUUACAUACAAAUUUUGUCAUUUGAUAGAAUCAACCAAAUAUAUAAACAAGAAUCCUGACAUCUUAAAGAUAAAGAAAUCAGUAAACAAAUAAAAGAAGUACCAAAGUACCACUCAUGAUCAUACCA
ensembl:lncRNA novel transcript